rnacentral:rRNA from 1 species
CACCGCGGUUAUACGAGAGGCCCAAGUUGAUAGACUACGGCGUAAAGCGUGGUUAAGAAACACAUUAAACUAAAGCCGAAUGCCCUCAGAGCUGUUAUACGCUCACGAUGGUCAGAAGCCCAAUCACGAAAGUAGCUUUACUUAACCUGAAGCCACGAAAGCUAUGACA